CGCGGGGUGGAGCAGCUCGGUAGCUCGUCGGGCUCAUAACCCGAAGGUCGUCGGUUCCAAUCCGGCCCCCGCAACCA
rnacentral:tRNA from 1 species